rnacentral:rRNA from 1 species
UGGGGAAUAUUGGGCAAUGGGGGAAACCCUGACCCAGCAACGCCGCGUGAAGGAAGAAGGCUUUCGGGUUGUAAACUUCUUUUAUGAGGGACGAAACAAAUGACGGUACCUCAUGAAUAAGCCACGGCUAACUACGUGCCAGCAGCCGCGGUAAUACGUAGGUGGCAAGCGUUUUCCGGAUUUACUGGGAGGAAAGGGCGCGUAGGCGGGAAGGCAAGUCAGAUGUGAAAUCCCCAGGCUUAACCUGGGAACUGCAUUUGAAACUGGUUUUCUUGAGUGAUGGAGAGGCAAGUGGAAUGCCUAGUGUAGCGGUGAAAUGCGUAGAUAUUAGGAGGAACACCAGUGGCGAAGGCGACUUGCUGGACAUUAACUGACGCUGAUGCGCGAAAGCGUGGGGAGCAAACA